CAAUAGCGUAUAUUAAAGUUGUUGCAGUUAAAAAGCUCGUAGUUGGAUUUCUGAUCGAGACAUCAGGUCGGGUCCGAGAGGAUCAUGUACUUUGAUUUUGUUUUGAUCAUCCUUGGGGAGAGCAUUUCUGGCAUUCAGUUGUCGGGAUUGGGAUCCUCAUCGUUUACUGUGAAAAAAUUAGAGUGUUCAAAGCAGGCCUCGGCCUCUGAAUACAUUAGCAUGGAAUAAUAAGAUAGGACUUUGGUGGUCUAUUUUGUUGGUUUGCACGCCAUAGUAAUGAUUAAUAGGGAUAGUUGGGGGUAUUCGUAUUCAAUUGUCAGAGGUGAAAUUCUUGGAUUUAUGGAAGACGAACUACUGCGAAAGCAUUUACCAAGGAUGUUUUCAUUAA
rnacentral:rRNA from 1 species